rnacentral:tRNA from 1 species
GCCUCUGUGGUGAAAUCGGUAGACACGCUACACUUAAGAUGUAGUUCUCAUUAAUGGGAGUACAGGUUCGAGUCCUGUCAGAGGUACAA